GCGUCCCAUUAGCUUGUUGGUGGGGUAAAGGCCUACCAAGGCGACGAUGGGUAGCCGGCCUGAGAGGGUGGCCGGCCACACUGGGACUGGAACACGGCCCAGACUCCUACGGGAGGCAGCAGUCGGGAAUAUUGCGCAAUGGGCGAAAGCCUGACGCAGCAACGCCGCGUGAGGGAAGAAGGCCUUCGGGUCGUAAACCUCUGUCAGGAGGGAAGAACUGCAUGGAUUCGAAUAGGGUCUGUGU
rnacentral:rRNA from 1 species